CGAGAAAGCCCGCAAGGGUGAGUAAAGCGGCGCACGGGUGCGUAACACGUGGGUAAUCUGCCCUAGAGUCCGGAAUAACUCGCCGAAAGGCGUGCUAAUGCCGGAUGAGACCACGGGAGCCUCGGCUCCUGCGGGAAAAGGUGGCCUCUGUACACAAGCUAUCGCUCUAGGAUGAGCCCGCGGCCCAUCAGCUAGUUGGCGGGGUAAUGGCCCACCAAGGCUACGACGGGUAGCUGGUCUGAGAGGACGAUCAGCCACACUGGAACUGAGACACGGUCCAGACUCCUACGGGAGGCAGCAGUGGGGAAUCUUGCGCAAUGGGCGAAAGCCUGACGCAGCAACGCCGCGUGUGUGAUGAAGGUCUUCGGAUCGUAAAGCACUGUCGCGAGGGACG
rnacentral:rRNA from 1 species